UGCAAGAGCAGCCAGUGGUCUUAACCACUAAGCCAUCUCUCCAUUCUCCUAUUUAAUUAUUUAAAGAUUUCUUACAGGAGUGGUGUAGCUGGCUGUACAUUGGACCUAAGAAGUGGAAAUUUCUUAUUUCAUUGUAAAGUCAGCUAUAUCAAACGAUGUUUUGCUGGGGAACACAGGCGAAAGGAAGUUUUGCUAAAGCAGACAUGUGAAAGAUGCAUGAUGCUUAGAAGGCAUAUAAAUGUGAUCCCACAGACAGUGGGAGCUUGAGCAUUGGUUCACUUUGCUCCACCUGGCUAUUCUUCACUGACAGACGUGCAUGCAUGUAUUGGUUCACCUUAUAUUGCAUUGCUGAGCUCCGCCUGUGGUGGCGCCAUAGAGAGAAAUUUGCCAAAGAACUUCUCCGUGAGGUUCCUGCUGCUUCCUCAAGCUGGUUGGUGAGCCUUGUGGUUUCUUCUGGAUUGAACUGCCCUUGCUGGUUCACAUGUGGUGACUGCCAAGUGGACUGGACUGCAGCUGCUGAUUCCUGUUUGGUGUUUUCUACUGAACUGAAACUGCUGAUAUCCUGACAAUGAAAAUUGGACUUGUCCCCAAAGAGCUAUUUGUAAACAGGUCUACUUCCACACCAUGUCCUAAUAACUUUUAUCUUCCACCAAUGUUGGUGGGUGGUGGCUUAGAGAGGAGGUUGAAUGUUUAUUAAAG
rnacentral:lncRNA from 1 species